rnacentral:rRNA from 1 species
CCGCGGUAACACCGGCAGCUCUAGUGGUAGCUGUUUUAUUGGGCCUAAAGCGUUCGUAGCCGGUUUAAUAAGUCUCUGGUGAAAUCCUAUAGCUUAACUGUGGGAAUUGCUGGAGAUACUAUUAGACUUGAGAUCGGGAGAGGUCAGAGGUACUCCUGGGGUAGGGGUGAAAUCCUGUAAUCCUAGGAGGACCACCUGUGGCGAAGGCGUCUGACUAGAACGAAUCUGACGGUGAGGAACGAAAGCUAGGGGCGCGAACCGGAUUAGAUACCCGGGUAGUCCUAGCCGUAAACUAUGCGGACUUGGUGUGAGGGUGGCUUUGAGCCGUCCUGGUGCCGAAGGGAAGCUGUUAAGUCCGCCGCCUGGGAAGUACGGUCGCAAGACUGAAGCUUAAAGGAAUUGGCGGGGGAGCACCACAACGCGUGGAGCCUGCGGUUUAAUUGGAUUCAACGCCGGAGAUCUCACCAGCGGCGACAGCAGUAUGAUGACCAGGUUGAUGACUUUGUUUGACAAGCUGAGAAGUGGUGCAUGG